rnacentral:rRNA from 1 species
UACGGAGGGGGUUAGCGUUGUUCGGAAUGACUGGGCGUAAAGCGCGCGUAGGCGGACCAUCAAGUCGGGGGUGAAAUCCCGGGGCUCAACCCCGGAAUGGCCUUCGAGACUGGUGGUCUUGAGUUCGAGAGAGGUGAGUGGAAUUCCGAGUGUAGAGGUGAAAUUCGUAGAUAUUCGGAGGAACACCAGUGGCGAAGGCGGCUCACUGGCCCGAUACUGACGCUGAGGCACGAAAGCGUGGGGAGCAAACAGG